GGCCCUCAGCCGCGGUGGGGACGCGGGCCGCUCGGUCGUCGCGCUGCGGCGCGCGGUGCGGGAGAGGGGGGCGGGGGGCGCGAGAUCCAGAAGCGUCCCAGUAUCCCCAAAAGGUCCCGAGGACGGCCAAGGAGUGGGAGCGGUAUCCCGUCCCCACGCGAGGGAGGGUUCGAAUCCCGACUGCUGCGCCCCGGACUGCGCAAGGGCCUGACGUUGCCGGUAGAUUAUUCAGAAGGGCGUCUGCAGUGGAGUGAAGACACCUGUGAACGCCUUGUAAUGGUUAUUUGCCCCCCCCCUGCGCCCAGGGUCCAGCGUGGGAGAAUGCAGUUUUUAUCUACCGGUGCAGUCUGGCAAAGUUUAAGUCCGGUGCAGUCAACCCCAGGAGCUCCAAGUUCGGCUAAUGAUUCUUUGUACUCGUCCCCAACCUUGAGACACAGGGAAUUCCCACAAAUGCUAAUGAACAGUUUUCAGAUGCAAAGGAAUCCUUCUCCGAGGCCCUCUGGAGGAAAGCAGGGCUUAGUUCUGGCAAAAAGUGCUCCCUGCCUGUGGCCUGGGAAAGCAGUCGAGG